CCCCUGAUGGGCCUGAAAGGAAAACGCUUUGAAAUCGGAACUGAGAAAGCUACUGGGCGGAACGUCCUCUCCUUGAGGCCGGAUGUAACCCUGCACCCUUGAAACCAGAAAACCUGGUUGGAGUCUGCAAACCGCGAUGCAGGAUGUGGGCACCGAGAAAAAGCAAGCGAUCCCAGUCAGGACUUCUUUGGGCCCAAACCUCGGUCUGCAUGUCAGUAAAGACUUGGUUAUAAUCUGUACAUACCUAAGAUUGCUUAGUUGACCCAUCUUUUGGCAGCUUUGAUGACCUUCACUAAAUCAUGGCCUUUCUUAGGAGUGCCCUCAUUUAACUAACACCAAGACCCUUAGUUGCCUGUACAAUGGAAGGAUUUACAGUUACUGACCUUUGUACCCACACACUAGUUCAAGGUCAGCUAGGUAACCUAAAUGUGUUCAGUGAAUAUCGAACAGUUAUCGGGAACUUAAUGAGAGAUGGAGUACCUUCAUUAUGAUUUCUUCAUCACAAUCUCAAGGCUUUAUUUAGCACCUCUCUGCAAUACUUAAACAUAACCCUUGAGGUGAGAGGGAAAGGACAUUAAAAUAUCUAAAGAGCCA